rnacentral:rRNA from 1 species
CCCUUAGAUGUUCUGGGCCGCACGCGCGCUACACUGAUUCAUGCAACAAGUUUUGUCCUUGACUGAUAGGCCUGGGUAAUCUUUGAACGUGAAUCGUGAUGGGGAUAGAUGAUUGCAAUUAUUCAUCUUCAACGAGGAAUUCCUAGUAAACGCAAGUCAUCAGCUUGCAUUGAUUACGUCCCUGCCCUUUGUACACACCGCCCGUCGCACCUACCGAUUGAAUGGUCCGGUGAAAUCUUCGGAUCUGAGAGAUGUCUGAUUAAUUUCGGACGCCUUUUGGAAAAGUUGUUUAAACCUUACCAUUUAGAGGAAGGUGAAGUCGUAACA